rnacentral:lncRNA from 1 species
GACAAAGGAAUAUGUGGAUUGGUAUAGAGCAAAUACAAAUCCAGAAAUGAUUGUGUCUGACCCGUUCUAUUUGGACGAUCCCCGAAUGCAACAACCAUAUCUCCAACAACAACAACCACCACAAUAUUCCCAACAACAACAACCACCACAAUAUUACCAACAACAACAACCACCACCAUAUUACCAACAACAACCACCACCACCGUAUUACCAACAACAACCACCACAACACAUGUCCACCCCCCAACCAAAUCAACAAUACAUACCACAAACUCAACCCCAAUAUCAUGAAGAUUACCAACACCAACCUCAACAUUCCCACCACCAUCAACAGUCCCAACACCUA